UACGUAGGGAGCAAGCGUUGUCCGGAAUCAUUGGGCGUAAAGCGCGCGUAGGUGGCCAUGUAAGUCCGCUGUGAAAGUCAAAGGCUCAACCUUUGAAAGCCGGUGGAUACUGCAUGGCUAGAGUACGGAAGAGGCGAGUGGAAUUCCUGGUGUAGCGGUGGAAUGCGCAGAUAUCAGGAGGAACACCAAUAGCGAAGGCAGCUCGCUGGGACGUUACUGACACUAAGGCGCGAAAGCGUGGGGAGCGA
rnacentral:rRNA from 1 species